GGCCCACUGGCGCGUGGCGCGCCGCUGUAUUCUCUUAGAUCGAAUCAAAUGUUCAAGUAAUGCAGCGACCCUGUUCGAUUCAGGGGUGGGCCA